GGGCCUCUUUCCUCUGUCGCUCUCUCCAGCACAACCAAAAACAGUUAUAACCCUCCUAGGGCCAAGCUCUCUCACGUAAUCAAGUAGUCUUGAUAAAGCAUCAGGGGUAUGAGCAUAGUCUACAAUUACUCCAAAAGCCUGUUCUUCAUCUAUCAGCUCACAUCGACCAGGGACUGCAUCAACCUCUUCAAUACCUUUGACAAUGUCCUCCAAAGGUGCCCCAACGGCAAUUCCAACAGCGACUGCUGCAAGAAUGUUAUAGAUGUUAUGCCGUCCAAGCAAACCAGAAGAUAUUUCCAAUAUGCCUUGAGGUGUGUUGACCAGCACUUGAGUCUCAAAGAGAGAUAACUGAAACUUUAAAGGAUGAACAUCAGCACUCUUAUUGUCCAUUGCAAAAGUCACAACAGGCACAUCAGGGUUUCCUUGUGCAACAAAGAAAGUUGCAUUAGUGUCAUCAAUAUUCACAAUCUUGCGGUGUCGUGCUG
rnacentral:misc_RNA from 1 species